UAGGAUGGAAAACUGAUGAAAAUCU
rnacentral:piRNA from 1 species